rnacentral:rRNA from 1 species
AACGAACGCUGGCGGCAGGCUUAACACAUGCAAGUCGAGCGCCCCGCAAGGGGAGCGGCAGACGGGUGAGUAACGCGUGGGAAUCUACCCAUCUCUACGGAAUAACGCAUGGAAACGUGUGCUAAUACCGUAUACGUCCUUCGGGAGAAAGAUUUAUCGGGGAUGGAUGAGCCCGCGUUGGAUUAGCUAGUUGGUGGGGUAAAGGCCUACAAAGGCGACGAUCCAUAGCUGGUCUGAGAGGAUGAUCAGCCACACUGGGACUGAGACACGGCCCAGACUCCUACGGGAGGCAGCAGUGGGGAAUAUUGGACAAUGGGCGCAAGCCUGAUCCAGCCAUGCCGCGUGAGUGAUGAAGGCCCUAGGGUUGUAAAGCUCUUUCACCGGUGAAGAUAAUGACGGUAACCGGAGAAGAAGCCCCGGCUAACUUCGUGCCAGCCGCCGCAGUAAAAC